GGUCCGCUGGCGUAAUGGCAGCGCGUCUGACUACGAUUCCUUCCCAGGAUCAAGUAAUCAGGAGGUUCCAGGUUCGACCCCUGGGCGGAUCG
rfam:Podospora anserina genomic DNA, chromosome 2.